CAAUAGCGUAUAUUAAAGUUGUUGCAGUUAGAACGCUCGUAGUCGGAUUUCGGGGCGGGCCGACCGGUCUGCCGAUGGGUAUGCACUGGUCGGCGCGUCCUUCCUUCCGGAGACCGUCCCUACUCUUAACUGAGCGGGGGCGGGAGACGGGACUUUUACUUUGAAAAAAUCAGAGUGUUUCAAGCAGGCAGCUCGCUCUUGCAUGGAUUAGCAUGGGAUAAUGAAAUAGGACUUUGGUGCUAUUUUGUUGGUUUCGAACACCGAAGUAAUGAUUAAAAGGGACAGUCAGGGGCACUCGUAUUCCGCCGAGAGAGGUGAAAUUCUCAGACCAGCGGAAGACGAACCACUGCGAAAGCAUUUGCCAGGGAUGUUUNCACUG
rnacentral:rRNA from 1 species